GUCCUCCUGCUCCCUGUACUAGAAAUGACCAGUUAUGGCUGUCAUGGCCGCGGAUUGAUGUUUUUUUCCUAAGACACCAGUUAUGGUUUGCGUUGUCUGUUACAGAAAUUGAUCGACGUGUUUUACUUAAACGUUUGAAUUUUUCAGAGUAUAUUAUUAAAAUUCCAGCUGAAUUCCAAGCAUUCAGUCCUCGCUAGAAGCACGCUGGGUCACUGCAAGGCCCAGCACACUGAAGGACGUUGGUGUAAAAACAGAUCAGCACACUACGUGGGAUUAAGAAAACACAAGACAAAAUGCAUAACACAAAGGGAAGAAAAGAGACUGACUGCCAGCUUCGUGAAGGAACCUGUAUUUAUGAAUCCACUCUGCAAAAUGUGACAUGUGGUGCAGCUGGAGGCAAGGAUCUCCUUCAUCUCUUAAAUUCUAUUUAAAAUUUCAAGAUGCUUACCAGAAAGCAACCAUGCCAGUAAGUCAUAGAAGCACUUGCUGUAGAAACAACACACCUUUCUGUGUAGCCGACUGGAAG